GAGGAGGCGUCGGCGUCGGUGGCGGCGGCGUCGACGGCGCGGAGGCGAAGGCGGCGGCGGGCGCGGCGAAGAGGGCGAGGCCGGGGGCCGAGAGGGCGGCAGAGCGUAGCGGUGGCUCGUGGGGUCCGGGCGGCCGAGGCGGGCGGCUGAGGAGCGGCGCCUGAGGAGGGGGAAACAAAGAGCGGCGGCUGAGGCGGCUGAGGAGCGGCGGCGGCGGCGGCGCUGCAGCAGCGGGCGGGACUGGUAUGGUGGUUUCACAGGGCAGACCCCGCUGCACUCACCGGGAGGAGGAGGCGGCGGCAGCGGCGGAGGAAGGCGGCGCGGCUCGAGAGGCAUGCCCAAAGAAAAAUACGAGCCCCCUGACCCUCGGAGGAUGUACACAAUUAUGUCCUCUGAGGAAGCAGCAAAUGGAAAGAAAUCACAUUGGGCAGAGCUUGAAAUAAGUGGAAAAGUAAGAAGCUUAAGCUCAUCUUUGUGGUCACUAACUCACUUGACAGCUUUGCAUCUGAGUGACAAUUCCCUGUCCUGUAUUCCUUCAGACAUUGCCAAGCUUCACAAUCUGCUAUAUCUGGACCUGUCCCAUAACCAAAUCCAGAGUUUACCGGCGGAACUCGGAAACAUGGUAUCACUCAGGGAGCUCCAUUUAAAUUACAACCAGUUACGAGUUCUACCUUUUGAGCUGGGAAAACUGUUUCAGUUACAGACUUUAAGCCUGAAAGGAAAUCCACUUACCCAAGAUAUAUUGAACCUCUGUCUGGAGCCAGAUGGAACAAGAAGGCUACUGAACUACUUGCUCGAUAAUUUGUCAGGUACUGCAAAAAGAAUUUCAACAGAACAACCACCUCCAAGAUCGUGGAUCAUGUUACAAGAACCAGACAGAACAAGACCAACGGCCUUGUUUUCUGUCAUGUGCUAUAAUGUUCUUUGUGAUAAAUAUGCGACCCGGCAGUUAUACGGCUACUGUCCAUCAUGGGCGUUAAACUGGGACUACAGGAAAAAGGCCAUUAUUCAAGAAAUCUUGAGCUGCAAUGCUGAUAUUAUCAGUCUUCAGGAGGUUGAAACAGAACAGUAUUACAGUUUUUUUCUGGUAGAACUGAAAGAACGUGGCUAUAAUGGAUUCUUCAGUCCUAAGUCUAGAGCUAGGACGAUGUCGGAACAAGAAAGAAAGCAUGUUGAUGGCUGUGCAAUAUUCUUCAAGACAGAAAAAUUUACUUUGGUUCAGAAACACACUGUUGAAUUUAACCAACUAGCAAUGGCGAAUUCAGAAGGGUCUGAAGCUAUGCUGAACAGAGUCAUGACGAAAGAUAACAUUGGAGUUGCUGUACUGCUAGAACUUCGAAAGGAAUUAAUUGAGAUGUCAUCUGGAAAACCACAUCUGGGAACAGAAAAACAACUUAUUCUUGUGGCUAAUGCUCAUAUGCAUUGGGACCCUGAAUACUCAGAUGUGAAGUUGGUACAAACUAUGAUGUUCCUCUCAGAAGUGAAGAAUAUUAUUGAUAAAGCCUCUCGGAACCUCAAAUCCAGUGUAUUGGGAGAAUGUGGAACUAUUCCACUUGUGUUAUGUGCAGAUCUGAAUUCUUUGCCAGACUCUGGUGUUGUAGAGUAUUUGAGCACUGGUGGAGUAGAGACCAAUCAUAAAGACUUUAAGGAACUGAGGUACAAUGAAAGUCUCACAAACUUCAGCUGUAACGGGAAGAAUGGUAUGACCAAUGGAAGGAUCACUCAUGGUUUCAAGCUAAAGAGUGCCUAUGAGAAUGGCCUGAUGCCUUACACGAAUUACACAUUUGAUUUCAAGGGUAUAAUUGACUACAUCUUCUAUUCUAAACCUCAGCUGAAUACUUUGGCCAUCCUGGGACCUCUGGACCACCAUUGGCUAGUUGAAAAUAAUAUCAGCGGCUGCCCACAUCCACUUAUUCCCUCCGACCACUUCUCACUUUUUGCACAAUUAGAGCUCUUACUGCCUUUCCUGCCCCAAGUUAAUGGCAUUCACCUUCCUGGCAGGAGGUAGUCAAGUACUUUCAGAGGACCUCAGAUUUACUUGUAAACUCAUGAAAAUCUGAAUAUAGAGGAGUGAGGAUGUGUUGACUUGAUUUUCAUAAACACUGUGUUGGUAGUGCACACCAUGACAGUUUCCAGUGAGGAUGAACUAGAGAUGGCUGGACUGAUGACACUGAGGAAGCCACUUUCCCUGUGACCUGCUUAGAGAAUCACAGGUCCAGAGAGUGUGUGGUGGGAGGAGCCGAGAGGAGCACUUACUCAUUUUUGCAUUUGUUAGUGAAAGAUGUAUUCUUUCCAUGGAUGCUGGAACUAGAAUGCACUUGUUAGAUGCUAAAGGUUUGAGCUUUAUACAAAAAGUUUCAUCUGUAUUCAUUACUGUCUACAAUAUAUUUGCAUUUGGGGGGCAGCAUAGUAAGAUAUAAUUGCCUAUUAUGUCUUGAAGUGCUUGUUUUGCCUCUUGGGCAUACUGCAUUCUGUGGGUCAGUUUGGACAUCUCCACCUUGUUUAGAUAGUGAUAAGUUGACCGAGAGUGUAGAUUUACAAAUAUAACUUUCAAAAGAAAACUAUUCUGAAUCUAUAGAGAAUAAAUGUUCACACCAAAAUAUACUGAUACUUUUGUUACACAAGGUUUUAUGUUUUAAAUGCUUUGUGUCCAGAAUAAUUUCCAAGAACCUAUAUUCCUUAAAAUGCAUAAAACUAGUCUGUUUUCAUAAUGUAGAUUAUUUUUUAAAAAUUCUGUAAUAAAUAUAUGUAAUGUUUUGCUAUAAUGUAAUUUCAGUGUUCUUGCUGAUAAAUACAUCUUAGGAGUGUUUUACACAAUGUUUGGAAUAUGUUUCCUAUUCUAAAGAUGAGAAGAUUGGAGGCACUCAAAUUCUUGUAAAUCUUUGAAGCACAGUUUACAGUAUUGGUGGUAAUUAUUUAUGCUUUGAGAAUUUAAAUAAUGUUCAUUGAAAUUAAUUUAUGGCAUAGUAUAAAUUGAAACUGUAGAAGUAAAUUGCUGAUUGCAACUUUAAUAAUCCCAGAACACAGAAGAACAUCUCUAAGAAAUUUGGUUUUUUUGUACUUGGAUUUGGUGACAACUAGGGUAGCUUGUUUUGUAUUAGCACUUUGAAACCUAAAGAUAUAAUUAAAUUGGGUAGAAUGCACUUCUAAGUCUUUAAAUUAUAGUUGAAUCCUCUAAGAUCCCAUUUUCCAAUAAUAACAUUCAUGGUUUAGUUUCAGUUUUUCACUGUUUAAACUACAGAACUCAUUUCCUUCAUGACUUUUAAGUUUGGUGGUUAUGUCAUAGGACAAAAUCAACCCAGGCAAGACAAUUACAGGAGAUGGUCAGUCACAGUAUCCAGUACAGGUGUUGCAGAGAGUUCAGAAGACAUAAGCAAGUGUCCUCUGACCAUAAGCAGUAUUUUAAGAUGUUCACUUUGUUCCUUUUGGUUACAUAAACCUUAAAAACUGGUAUGUUGAUGUAGAGUCUAAAAUAGAGUAGUCUUUAUUCACAGUACCUGCUAUUGUGUAAUGCACUGGACUAACUCUUGUUUACCAUUCGUGUCACAAAACCCAGCACACUGUCUGCACUAAGCUCAAGAAUGUCACAUCCGCCUAGGCAGCUCUUCGAUAAGGGUGAUGAAAAGCUGAAUUUACACCAUAUAGACUGGUGGUAACAAGGGCUUUUACUGUUCUUUUCAGUGGAAUCUUCUUGGUCAAAUUGUAACUAGCUAGUAUUAUAUUUAUAUACAGGGUCUCUUUUCCUUACCGAUGUAUUUUCCUACUCAUAGCCAACCAAUAAAUUCAAUAUCUGUUUCAAAUAUUUUAAAAGUGUAAUUUGUACAGCUGUAGCACUGAGGCUUCAAAGCAGAUGUUCACCAGGAGACCACACAUUACAGUUCAGAGUCCUCUGGGGCAGGGGAGGAUUGAGUAGGGACAGGGCAUGGUGCAGCAAACAGUGUGGACACCUUUCCUCAGUGGCUGUGUAGUGCUCAUCUUCGCCAAAGUUGUUUCCUGUCUAGGUUGUGAAUGGUCCUUUGGCAUUUAGGGUUCUUGUUACCAUGCACCUCAUGAUGUAAAAACGGGCUCGUGUUAUGGA